AUGACAUUCUAGAAUGUCAGGUACAACAGAGACAGCUGUUUGUCCCCCAGUAUCCUUCAGACAAAGCCAUAUAUGAUUGAAGGUUAUCAGUACUGUGCUUUUGGAGGAUUCAGAAGAAGUUAUAUCUGAUUGGGAGAUUGAAAAGGAUUGGCCUGAAGGAGAGGUGGUUUUUGAACUGCAUCUUAAAGGAUGAGGAAACUGAGGCUGAGAGGGUAGAGAACUUUGCCUGAGGUCACUCAGCAGGGACCCACCCAUCACAGUAAAUGCCAGCACUGCUGAUGCCAAAACAAUGUUAUUUGUAGGCCCUCGGAAUUUGUGACCUGAAGGAAGAAGAGCAGGGCCGUGGGAAGUAUGUAACCAGUGUCAUGCCCCUGGUCCCAAGGAAGCAGUGGCUUGGUAAAGAGGGGACCCCCGUCAAUAACUCCCUGUAAUUACUGGGCACCCACUCUGAGCUCCUCAGUGGAAUCCUAAGGUUAAUAAGACUGUCUCUAGCCACUGGGGCUCCCAGCCUGGAGUGAGGCCUGAACACCCUGUCCUACCUGGUCCUACCUGGAUGCUGGCCUCAGUAAGCUCCUGGGCUCAUUGAAGAUGAACCUAGCAGUAGUAUUUACACCACUUGUUGUGUGCCCACUGUGGGCCCGGCGCCAUGCCGAGUGCUCUAUGGAUGUGAGAUGAGAACACUGAAGCAGUUUUUUCUAAAGAUAGCUGCCUGGCACAGUGGCUCACAUCUGUAGUCCCAGCAUUUGGGGAGGCCAAGGCAGGUGGAUCACUUGAGGCCAGGAAUUCAAGACCAGCAUGGCCAACAUGUUUUCCAUCCUUCCUUCAGUGCUGGGAGAGAAAAGCAUACGACAUAGACAGGGAGGUCAAGCUCCACCACGCAGAUGAGGUGCAGGCCACCAGUCUUCCUCUGCCACAUCUCUUUCUGAAAAGGACUUCACAUUCACCCUUGCAAUCCAUGUGGGGACACUGUUGGAUAGGAGGCGUGGUCCCAGCGUGGUCUCCCUGUCUGGGCCUCUGCCUAUGCCAAAUGUUUGCCUUACGCUGCACACUCAAGAGGUUCCAUGUAUACAGAUGGGAAUUCCAGAGCUACAGAAAAGGCAGCAAGCACCAUGAUUUAAGCUAACCAGUGUGGAUUCACACCUUCCUCUCUCUCUAUCAGUGGCAGAACUACCAGCUAGAGUAAGAAGUGGUUGAUCCAGGACCUAAACAUUCUGGAAACUCUUGCCCACUUCUGGGAGAAAUGACCCAAUCCAUAGUACUAAGCACACCUUAACUUUCGUAGGACGCAGGCAAGUUGUCAUACCGUGUGCCUAAAUAUAGAAAAAUGAUCCACUGGACUAAUAAAGUGUUAAAUAAAA
rnacentral:lncRNA from 1 species